CCCUUAGAUGUUCUGGGCUGCACGCGCGCUACACUGAAGCUAUCAACACGUUUUCCCUCCCUGAGAAGGGCGGGUAACCUUUUGAAUCAGCUUCGUGGUAGGGAUCGGGGCUUGCAAUUGUUCCCCGUGAACCAGGAAUUCCUAGUAGACGCGAGUCAUAAGCUCGCAUCGAUUAAGUCCCUGCCCUUUGUACACACCGCCCGUCGCUACUACCGAUUGAACGUUUUAGUGAGGCAUAUGGACCGACGCAUCUCAGUUUAACCGCUGGUUUGUGUUGGAAAGACUUCCAAACUUGAGCGUUUAGAGGAAGUAAAAGUCGUAACA
rnacentral:rRNA from 1 species